GCAGUGGCUGUCGUCAGCUCGUGUCGUGAGAUGGUUGGGUUAACGUCCCGCAACGGAGCGCCAACCCUCGCCAGUUAGUUGCCAUCAAUUAAGGUUGGGCACUCUAGGUGGGACUGCCGGUGAUAAGCCGGAGGAAGGUGGGGAUGACGUCAAGUCAUCAUGGCCCUUACGGGCUGGGCUACACACGUGCUACAAUGGCGGUGACAGUGGGCAGCAACUCAGCAAUGGGGAGCUAAUCUCAAAAAGCCGUCUCAGUUCGGAUUGGGGUCUGCAACUCGACCCCAUGAAGUCGGAAUCGCUAGUAAUCGCGGAUCAGCACGCCGCGGUGAAUACGUUCCCGGGCCUU
rnacentral:rRNA from 1 species